rnacentral:rRNA from 1 species
AGCAGCCGCGGUAAUUCCAGCUCCAAUAGCGUAUAUUAAAGUUGUUGCAGUUAAAAAGCUCGUAGUUGAAUUUCAGAAUCAAUAUGUCGGUCGUGCCUUGGUACGUACUGGUAUCAUUGGUUUCUCCUUUCUGACGAACCAUGAUGUCACUAAUUUGGUGUUAUGGGAAGUUAGGACUGUUACUUUGAAAAAAUUAGAGUGUUUAAAGCAGGCUUUGGCUUGAAUACAUUAGCAUGGAAUAAUGAAAUAGGACGUUCGAACCUAUUUUGUUGGUUUCUAGGAUCAACGUAAUGAUUAAUAGGGAUAGUUGGGGGCAUUAGUAUUCAAUUGUCAGAGGUGAAAUUCUUGGAUUUAUUGAAGACUAACUACUGCGAAAGCAUUUGCCAAGGAUGUUUUCAUUAAUCAAGAACGAAAGUUAGGGGAUCGAAGACGAUCAGAUACCGUCGUAGUCUUAACCAUAAACUAUGCCGACUAGGGAUCGGAUGAUGUUAAUUUUUAAUGACUCAUUCGGCGCCUUACG